AUGGUUACAAGUGAUAUGCACACUACUUUUCCCUUGGUUUACCGUCUUGUUGAGUUAGCAUUGAUUUUACCUGUUGCAACUGCAACAGUGGAAAGGGCAUUCUCAGCACUGAGCAUUAUCAAGACUGGGUUGAGAAACAAAAUGGGUGAUGAUUGGAUGAAUCAUAGAAUGGUAUGUUACAUUGAGCGAGAUGUAUUUGUGAGUGUUGAAGAAUCAAAGAUCAUUGAGCGAUUUCAAGGUUAUCGCAAUCGCAAAUGCCUUUUGCCUUGUCCUAGAUGUAAGUUUUCAAGCUUUUUCAUCAAUUAUUCACUCUUUUUACCAGCUAUUAUGCACUGA
rnacentral:rRNA from 1 species